AUAUGGCAGAGUUUAUGUGCUAGUGUUCAAAUACAGUAACCGGAACGCCACAGUGCUCGAUCUCUAUGAAUUGCCAUUUGAUGCGGCUACAGGACCCAGUUUCAAGCAUUCAUUAAUUUUAGGUGCUGAAUAAAAUUAAUUUAAAUUUUUUUUUUAAUUUAUAAAAAUAAACAAAAAAUUAAUCAAAAAUAAUUUUCAGGAUUCAAUGGUGGCUGUGGUAUUCAUGUAAUCGAUAAUUUGGUCGUUGUACAUCACCAGGCGUCGCAAAAAUCGCUGAUUUUUGAUAUAAGAGUCAGCUCGCCGAGCAAGAGUCAUUCACCUCUUGUUGUCACCACAAUAGGUACUUGAACGACGACUAACGGAGCUUUUCAGAAAAUUAUUUUUAAAAAAUUUUAAAAAAAGGAGCAACACAUGUUCAAAAAUUUAAUCUAUUUUUCGAAAAAUCAAAAAACUAAUUCGAAAUUUCGAAAAAAUUUUCCAAUUUUUUUUUAAAUUAAAAAAAAAGUUAGAAAAUUAACUUGAAAUUCGAUUUUUUUUACCAAAUUCUGUUUACAUUGAAAAUUUAUUGAUUUUCUGAAAAAUUGAAAAAUCAAUAAAAAAUUGAUGAAAAAAAAAACUAAAAUUUUCAUCAAUUUUUCGAAAAAAAAAUUCAAAAUAUCGGAAAAUCGAAAGUUAUUAAUUUUUGAUUUUUUUUUAAAUUAAAAAAUGUUUGUUUUUCGAUUAAAAAUUUCGAUUUUUAAAAAAUUAAACCGAUUUUAUUCUAAAAAAUCGAAAAUUUUUCGUUUUUUAUUUAAAUCGGAAAACAAACAUUUUUCGAUAAAAAAAAACGAAAGACAAAAAUUUUCCAAAUUUAUUCAUAAAACCGAAAAACGAAAAUUUUUCGUUUUUUUUUUAAAUCGAAAAACAAAAUGAAACCGAAUUUUAUUUUUUGAAAAUCGAAAAAAAAAUCGAUUUUAUCAAGAAAAAACCAACAUAUCGGAAAAUGGAAAAUGAUUAAUUUUCGAUUUUUAAAAUCUCGAAACUCGAAAAAAAUUAGUUUUUCGAUUUUAUUUUUAUAAAAACGCCAAAAAAUUUUAAUUUUCCGAUGUUAUAAAAAAACCGAAAAUUUUCCGUUUUUCUACGUAAAAACGAAAAAAUUUCGAUUUUUUUAAAAUUAAAUCGAUUUUAUUUAAAAAAAAAAUUGAAAAAUCUCCGAAAGCCGAGAUUCACAACGGAGCUUUUCAGAAAAAUAUUUAAAAAAAACCAACUAUUUUUAAAAAUUGUUUCUGGAAAAUUGAAAAAUCGAAAAAAAAAUUUUGGCAUAAAAUUCGAUUUUUUUAAAAAUCUGAUUUCGUUUAUAUUGAGGAGAAAAUCCAUGAAAAAACAUAAACAUUUCUUUCAAAAAAGAGGAAAAAUUACCAAAUUUUAAUAUAUUUUUGGAAAAAAAAAGCAAAAAAUCGGAAAUUUUUCGAUUUUUUCAACAUUGAAAACUGGAAAAAAAUGUUUCAGAAAAUUGUCCAUAAAAUUCGAUUUCUAUUGAUAAGAGAAAAAAUGUUCCGUCUAAAAAAGAAAAUUUUGGUCAAUUUUUCGAAAAAAAAAAUCGGAAACGCGAAAAUGAUUAAUUUUUGAUUUUUUUUAAAUCGAAAAAAAUUUUUACAUUUUUUUUUGAAAAAUCGAAAAUUUCCAAUUUUCCCUUUUUUUUUUGAAAAAAUUGGAAAAUCUUCGUUUUUCGGUUUUCGAUUAAAAAAAAACCAAAAAGUUUUCUAUUUUCUGCCAAGCAGCCUCUAAUAAAUGCCGAGUGUACAGACUCCGCCCCUUUUUCGCGUUUUUUCGCGUUUUUUUUGGCUUGCGAAAAAAUGUCACACUUCGUUUUCAUUAAUAACUCCUGAACCGUGUGACUUCAUGCUCUAAUAUUUGAAAUCCUACUAGAAAUAUUUUGCCCCACAGUGGAGCAGAAAACGGCACUAAGUUCGGAGCAAAAUUGAGCCCAGGACAGCUUUCCCCAGUUUGAAAAAUUUUUUUGUUGCUCUUUUUACCCCCAAAAAAGCAUGUUUUAAUUGAAUUAAAAUUCGGGUUUUGCUCGGUUUUGUUCCAAAUUUCUGUGCAACAUACUACUCAGAGAGUCUGAUUUUUUGAAAAAAAGUUUGAGUUCAUAAGUGCAAAAGGAAAAAAGUUGUGAUAAAACAAAAGGCCAAAAAAUGACAUUUUGCCAAAAAAAAAUUUUUUUCCGAAAAAGUAGUUUUUCGUCUUUAUCUCAAGUUCUACUUUAUCUUUUUUUGAUAUUUGUUUUGUUUACCCCACGUAAAAAAGUACGCUGAACACGAUUUUUAACUCAGAAUUGGAAAAUGUUCUAUGAGUCGGCCGAGCAAGACGAAUAAGUGCCAAAUUUUGCACACUUUCUCAUUUUCGCGAAUCUACUUUUUCAAUCAUAACUCGGUCAGUUUUCAAUUUUUCUUAGUUUUCCAAAAAUUGACGUGUAGGUCUCAUCAAGACGCAUCGAGACAUAUAAAAUUUGUAAAAAGUUCAGUGGGAAAAUUUUUCAAGAAAAAAAUAAUUCAAAAAUUUAGUACUGGGGGGAGUGGUUUCCUGGGUCCCCUGAACAUUUUUCCACUAAAGUUUCGCGGAAUGUAUUUUUAAUUCAUAGUUUUUGAUUUUAUUUAAUGGAAGAUGAAGUUUCGUCGCGUUAGCAAUGCUCUGCCAAGAGAUAUUAUUUUUUUUUCAAUUUUCAGGCCAAAACUUGUUUUUUUCUAUACAUCUGUCUGUGUACAAGAUAUAGCCCUCAACUGUACGUCUCCUUUUCGGGAAUUCAAUAAUGAGUACAAUCCUGUAAUAAAAUUUUCAAAAAUUAGGUUUUCCGCUGACUUAUCAGUGAUAAACGGUUUUCGAACGUCUUUUCCCAAAUAGUCAUAUUUGAAGAAAGCGGAAUCGAAAGACGACUUCCUCCAGAAAAUUUUCUUCCCUACAUCCCGGUUUGAGGUGUCUCCCGCAUGGCCGAGUGGUUAGUGCGUAUGACUGCAGAAAUUUUGGUAGUUGGUUCAAUUUAGUGACAAAUUUUUUUGUUUUUUGUGAGUAAUCGGGAUUCGAAUAGAAAUACUCGAUUUUAUACAAAAUAUGGGUACGUCUCCCCUAAUAUAAAGCCUCCUCAAACUUCAAUCAAUCAAAACUCAGCUUUAACUGAUUCAUCGGGUGCGUCUGUUUUUGGUCAAACCGAACUCAAAAAUCAAGAAGACAUUGACCCACUGAAAAUUUCACGAACCCUCUAACAGGUUCGAGGCGAAGCCGAGAACCUACGCCCGGCAGGGGGACUCGCCUUACACCCCCUACAACUGGCGGGCCCGCAGGGCCCGCUAGUCCUUUUUAUUGUUAAAAAAUCGAAAUUUUUAGUUUUUCGUUUUUUAAUCGAAAAAUGUUUUUCUUUAAUUUUAUUUUUAGAAAAAUAAAAAAAUGUUCGAUAAAAAAAACGAAAAACGAUAAUUCUUCGAUUUUUUAAAAAAUAAAAUCGAUUUUAUUUUUUUUUAAAACCGAAUAAAUUUUAAUUUUGCAAUUUUAAUUUAAAAAAUUGAAAAAAAAUUUUAGUUUUUUUGAUUUUCUUAGCAAAAAAGUUUCGAUCAAAAAACGAAUAAAAUUUGAUUUAAAAAAACCAAAAAUUUUCGAUUUUUGGAUUAAAAAAAACCGAAAAAUAUUAGUUUUUCGGUUUUCACUUUUAUUUUGAAAAAAAAAUUGAAAAUUUUCAGUUUUUGAAUUUUAUAUUUAAAAAAAACCAAAAAUGUUCGUUUUUCGUUAAAAAAAAAAUCAAAUUUUGUUCCGAUUUUAUUUUAAAAAAAUUGAAAAAUUUUCGUUUUUCUAUUCAAAAAAAAUUUUUUUUUUUUUAAAAGCCGAAAAAUUUUAAUUUUCCGAUUUUCUUUAAAAAACGAAAUUUUUAAUUUUUCUAUUUUAUUUAAAAAAAAAAGCCGAAAAAAUUUAGUUUUCCGAUUUUAUAAAAAAAUUUAAAAAAAUCGAAAAAUUUUAAUUUUUAUAUUUUAUUCAAAAAAAAAUCGAACGUUUUUCGAUUUUAUUUUAAAAAAAUUGAAAGUUUUAUUUUUUCGAUUUUAUAAAAAAGUUAAAAAACAAAUCGAAAAUUAAAAAAAAUCGGAAAUUUUUUAGGUUUUCAAUUUUCGAUUUAAAUAUAAAAAUUAAUUAUCUUUGACAAAACCGAAAAUGUUCGUUUUUAGUUUUAAAAAAAUCAACUUUUUUUCCGAUUUUAUUGUUUAAAAAAUUGAAAUUUUUUUGUUUUUCGUUUUUCUAUUCAAAAAAAUUUCGAUUUUCGAUUUUAUUUUAUAUAAAAAUCGAAACAUUUUAAUUUUCCGAUCUUACAAGAUUUUUUCAGAAUCCCAUCCACAACACCAGCCACCUCCAGCUCUCUACACCAAUUUCUGGUUCACCUUCCUCCCCGACAUCGUCAUUGAUUCGUCUGGCGGUGUGAUGUACUCGAUUCGUCUGAAAAAUGAGCACGCUCAACUCGAAAUCGCCGACAAACAAACGAUGCUCGAAUAUUUGGCGAGACGGAGCAACGAGAAGAAGCUGUUCGUGACGACAUUGUUGGCUUGCCUCAAAGCUCGCGCUCUGUCUCUCCGACAAAUCCGGAAAGUAUUCGCAAUGCUCACAGGAGUUACUGGAAAAUCGUCUGCUAGUGAAAAUUCAGUUGAAAAUGGCUCUGGAAGUAGCCAGAAGCCCGUAUUAGACUGCGAGAAAUACGCGAGUUUGGCAGUGACGCAGCAGGAAAUGCAAAGCUCUGUUCUCAUUCCAUUGAGGG
rnacentral:sRNA from 1 species